GCUGGGGAUGGUGGCGCAUGCCUAUAGUCCCAGGUACUUGGGAAGCUGAGAUGGGAGGAUUGCUUGAGCCUGGGAGUUCGGGGCUGCAGUGAGCCGUGAUUAUGCCACUGCACUCCAGCCUGGGUGACAGAGUGAGACCCUGUCUCAA
ensembl:misc_RNA Metazoa_SRP Metazoan signal recognition particle RNA